GCUCCCUUGGCCUAAUGGAUAAGGCAUCAGACUUCUAAUCUGAGGAUUGCGGGUUCGAGUCCCGCAGGGAGUG
rnacentral:tRNA from 1 species